GAAUAUUGGACAAUGGGGGGAACCCUGAUCCAGCCAUGCCGCGUGUGUGAAGAAGGCCUUUUGGUUGUAAAGCACUUUAAGCGAGGAGAAGGCUACUCUAGUUAAUACCUAGAGAUAGUGGACGUUCCUCGCAGACCAAGCACCGGCCCACUCUGCGCCAGCCGCCGCGGUAAUACAGAGGGUGCAAGCGUUAAUCGGAUUUUCUGGGCGUAAAGCGCGCGUAGGUGGCCAAUUAAGUCAAAUGUGAAAUCCCCGAGCUUAACUUGGGAAUUGCAUUCGAUACUGGUUGGCUAGAGUAUGGGAGAGGAUGGUAGAAUUCCAGGUGUAGCGGUGAAAUGCGUAGAGAUCUAGAGGAAUACCGAUGGCGAAGGCAGCCAUCUGGCCUAAUACUGACACUGAGGUGCGAAAGCAUGGGGAGCAAACA
rnacentral:rRNA from 1 species